rnacentral:rRNA from 1 species
GACUACUGGGGUAUCUAAUCCUGUUUGCUCCCCACGCUUUCGCACCUCAGCGUCAACAGUCGUCCAGUAAGUCGCCUUCGCCACUGGUGUUCUUCCGAAUAUCUACGAAUUUCACCUCUACACUCGGAAUUCCACUUACCUCUCCGACGUUCAAGCUACCUAGUUUCAAAGGCAAUUCCGGAGUUGAGCCCCGGGCUUUCACCUCUGACUGGAGUAGCCGCCUACGUGCGCUUUACGCCCAGUGAUUCCGAACAACGCUAGCCCCCUCCGUAUUACCGCGGCUGCUGGCACGGAGUUAGCCGGGGCUUCUUCUGCGGGUACCGUCAUUAUCGUCUCCGCCGAAAGAGCUUUACAACCCGAAGGCCUUCUUCGCUCACGCGGCAUUGCUGGAUCAGGCUUGCGCCCAUUGUCCAAUAUUCCCCACUGCAGCCGCCCGUAGG